UCAGAUUGCAGGCUGCAACCCGCCUGCAUGAAGUCGGAAUUGCUAGUAAUCGCGGAUCAGCAUGCCGCGGUGAAUACGUUCCCGGGCCUUGUACACACCGCCCGUCACACCAUGGGAGCCGGUAAUACCCGAAGUCAGUAGUCCAACCACGUGAGGACGCUGCCGAAGGUAGGAUUGGCGACUGGGGUGAAGUCGUAACAAGGUACC
rnacentral:rRNA from 1 species